rnacentral:rRNA from 1 species
AUACGGAGGGGGCAAGCGUUAUUCGGAAUUAUUGGGCGUAAAGGGCGCGUAGGCGGCCUGAUAAGUCAGGGGUGAAAUCCCUCGGCUCAACCGAGGAGCUGCCUCUGAAACUGUCAGGCUUGAGGCCGGGAGAGGGUAGUGGAAUUCCCAGUGUAGCGGUGAAAUGCGUAGAUAUUGGGAGGAACACCAGUGGCGAAAGCGGCUACCUGGACCGGUUCUGACGCUGAGGCGCGAAAGCGUGGGGAGCAAACAGGAUUAGAAACCCCAGUAGUCC